rnacentral:lncRNA from 1 species
UUCAAAAUUGAUAUAUUAUUCCGAUUAAAUCUGAUGAAGCCACAUCCGAAACCUUAAAUAGAACCUCAACAAGCAACAAACAAGACUGCAUAUCGAAGGAAAACUAAAACCAAGCAGAAACUUCCAAAUGAAAACCCAAUUUGCGGAUUCCAAACUAUGCUCAAAUGGCUCUCCGAAAAAAAAUUAAAAUUUCCUAUUUUCUCUCGAUCUCCCUUCACCUUGCCAUUCCCGAUCCCACACUCUCGAUCUUCUUUCUAUUUUUGCUUGAUUUCCCUGUUUUUUCGUGUGUCCUCUCUUACCUUAAAUCACCUCACUAUUUUUGCUCUUCUCUUUCUCCUUUUCCUGUGUGUAUGCAGCUGUGAGGAGUGAGUUUUUUGUGAGAUGUCUUUGAUAAGGGUCUUCACCUAUCUCUACAGAUCUUUACAAUGGUGAGUGUGAGUUAAUUUUUGGUGAGUAGGGCACCUAGGUCAAGAAGAAAGGAAGCUCUCUGUGUGUGGUCUUCUCUAUGGAGAGUGUGUGAAUCGAAUUGUAUGUGUGUGUGAUGAAUUCUAUGAUCAACCCCUAUUUACUAUUGUUGCGCUCCCUUUUUUGAUUCUCAAUUGGGUGUGGCCUUAUGGAGGUGUGCAUGAAUCUGUAGGUAUUUUUGUGCUACCAAGACGGAAGAAAAGGAAUGAAAGAUUCCCCCUCUUAAAAAUGGCAUUUUCCAGUGUAUUCAAUUCAUCUGAAUCCUCCCUUUGGUUUUGUGAUGUUAUGUGUAUAUAAUGAUAUUUGUGUGAGAAUGGAAUUUCCACCAAUGGAAAUUGUGUCCUCCCGUAUAUUUU